rfam:Toxocara canis scaffold32, whole genome shotgun sequence.
GCCUCAUUGGCUCAGGGGCAGAGCGUCUGUCUUGUAAACAGAAGGUCGCUGGUUCGAUCCCAGCAUGAGGUA